UACGGGGGGGGCAAGCGUUGUUCGGAAUUACUGGGCGUAAAGGGCUCGUAGGUGGCCAACUAAGUCAGACGUGAAAUCCCUCAGCUUAACUGGGGAACUGCGUCUGAUACUGGAUGGCUUGAGUUUGGGAGAGGGAUGCGGAAUUCCAGGUGUAGCGGUGAAAUGCGUAGAUAUCUGGAGGAACACCGGUGGCGAAGGCGGCAUCCUGGACCAAUCUGACACUAGGAGCGAAAAGCCAGGGGGAGCAAACGGG
rnacentral:rRNA from 1 species